GUCCAUGAAAUGAAAUAAUUUGUGAGAUUAGAUAAAUAUUUUACAAGAAAAAUAAACUUUAAAGUAAAAACAAUGAGCCCAAAAUGUUUAUGUGAGCGAGUUCACCAAUGCAUAUUAGAAGUAAUGAUAUUUAAUCAAAUUAAUCUAAUUUUGACACUUGUUGUAAUCACCAAUCAAGCCAAAUAACAUGUCAUUAAAGUUUUCAC
rnacentral:lncRNA from 1 species